GCAGCACGGUGGCUUUGCUUUGUUUUAGGAAUACCUCCGAGAGGAGCUGUCGUCUCUUCCAACCUGAAAGAUUUGCCUGGAAUUCUUUCUGCCAAUCAGGCCGGCCUUCCGGCCUUCUCAUACGCUGUUCGGCACUCAGUGAUGCUUCUGCUGGGGUCCAACAGGCAUUCAGCCUGAGAUGGGGGGUGAAAGGUCAUCUCUCUGGAGAUCUGCAGAGGGAGGAAAGAUGGAGACUCUAAGGAGGAGACGGUUAAGUGAUUUCAUGAACGGAAACAGAGGCUCUUGAGAAGAAAUGUUCAGAACUAGAACCCGGCAGUGAGUUUCCAUCUGGUGCUUUUGAACUAAGGAGAGUGGGUGUCCACAGAUGGCAACAUUGAUGGAGCUGACCUGCUCCGUGCUGGGAAAUGUUCCUUGAUUCUCUGGCCAGCCAAGCAGCCAUCUACAGCUCCUAUCUUCCCUGGGUCCCCAGGCCUGAGACUUAUUCUCCUGCUUCCCACAAGCCACUGCAGAGCCAACCCAACAGUUCUCAAAUAUGCCUUCUGUCAAAAUGGCAGAGAAGUUUAAAUGCCCAUCUUACUGCCAACCCAGAAACUCUGUCUUCCUUUAGAUAAACGCCCACUCUAUUCGGAA